rnacentral:misc_RNA from 1 species
GAUGAAGAACGCAGCGAAAUGCGAUAAGUAGUGUGAAUUGCAGAAUUCAGUGAAUCAUCGAAUCUUUGAACGCACAUUGCGCCCUAUGGUAUUCCUUAGGGCAUGCCUGUUCGAGCGUCAUUUAAACCUUCAAGCUAAGCUUGGUGUUGGGUGACUGUCCGCUUCACGGCGGACUCGCCUCAAAAUUAUUGGCGGCCGGUACAUUGGCUUCGAGCGCAGCAGAAACGCGAACUCGGGCCCGUCGUAUUGGCUCCCAGAAGCUAUCUUCACAAUUUUGACCUCGGAUCAGGUAGGGAUACCCGCUGAACUUAAGCAUAUCAAUAAGCGGAGGA